UACGGAGGAUGCGAGCGUUAUCCGGAUUUAUUGGGUUUAAAGGGUGCGUAGGCGGCCUGUUAAGUCAGCGGUGAAAUCUAGGAGCUUAACUCCUAAAUUGCCAUUGAUACUGGCGGGCUUGAGUGUAGAUGAGGUAGGCGGAAUGCGUGGUGUAGCGGUGGAAUGCAUAGAUAUCACGCAGAACUCCGAUUGCGAAGGCAGCUUACUAAGGUACAACUGACGCUGAAGCACGAAAGCGUGGGUAU
rnacentral:rRNA from 1 species